UACGGAGGAUCCAAGCGUUAUCCGGAAUCAUUGGGUUUAAAGGGUCCGUAGGCGGUUUUGUAAGUCAGUGGUGAAAUCCGGCAGCUUAACUGUCGAACUGCCAUUGAUACUGCAGGACUUGAAUUACUGUGAAGUAACUAGAAUAUGUAGUGUAGCGGUGAAAUGCUUAGAUAUUACAUGGAAUACCAAUUGCGAAGGCAGGUUACUAACAUUAUAUUGACGCUGAUGGACGAAAGCGUGGGUAGCGAACAGGAUUAGAUACCCUGGUAGUCCACGCCGUAAACGAUGGAUACUAGCUGUUCGGUAGCAAUACUGAGUGGCUAAGCGAAAGUGAUAAGUAUCCCACCUGGGGAGUACGAACGCAAGUUUGAA
rnacentral:rRNA from 1 species